UGAGGAAUAUUGGUCAAUGGGCGCAAGCCUGAACCAGCCAUCCCGCGUGCAGGAAGACGGCCCUAUGGGUUGUAAACUGCUUUUCCAGGGGGAGAAACUUGCGCACGUGUUGCGCAAUUGACGGUACCCUGGGAAUAAGCAUCGGCUAACUCCGUGCCAGCAGCCGCGGUAAUACGGAGGAUGCGAGCGUUAUCCGGAUUCAUUGGGUUUAAAGGGUGCGUAGGCGGACUAUUAAGUCAGUGGUGAAAUCCUGCAGCUUAACUGCAGAACUGCCAUUGAUACUGAUAGCCUUGAGUUUGGUUAAGGUAGGCGGAAUGUGUAAUGUAGUGGUGAAAUGCUUAGAUAUUACACAGAACACCAAUUGCGUAGGCAGCUUACUGAGCCGACACUGACGCUGAGGAGCGAAAGCCAGGGGAGCGAACG
rnacentral:rRNA from 1 species